ACCCUAACACACAAUACACUCAUCCUUCACUCACUAACUCUAGCCGCCACCCUCACCUCCCUCAACACACCCACACACUCAGAGAAUAGAGCGGGGGAAACGGAGGAAGGAAAAAGAGAAGAUAGGGGAGAAGAAGAAGAGAAAAUAAAGGAGAGGGGGAGAGUGCGCCAGUGAAGGCCACUGCCGCUCACUACGCCGUUAUCAUUAUCGAUGAGGGAGGACCGAGGAGAGAGUUUCACGGAGAAGGGAGAGCUCACGAGAGAGAGGAGUGUCGCCAUCGUCGUCACGGCUGCCGGUGUGGAAGACCGUCGCCGCCGUUGAAGAUCUGUCGCCAUUGUUCCUUCGUCGCCGUUCCACUAUUGUUGUCAGGGGUCAAAACACAAAGGAGGAGUCUCUGGUUCACGCUGCUAUGCCUCCAUCACCACCGUUUCAUCACUGAUGCGGCUGGGUUGUCGUCACCGUCGCCGGGAAGGGGAGAGCCGAAGGAAUCCAUCACCAUGCACACCAUCGCCGAAAAGCAUAGAAUGGGGAAGGAGGAAUAGGGGGUUACCACCGUCGUUGGAGAUGGCUGUCGGGCUCAGAAAACCUCGCCACACACCUGUGGCCGCUGGGAACGUCAUUGACGCUCUCGGAGUCAGCCACUGGAGCUGCGACUGCUCCGUUCUUGGUUUCUUUUGUGCGGAUAAAAGACCUUUUCACCUGGAUUUCUAAAUAAGUAUGGUGCGGGAUUUGGAACCUUAGUAUAUUUUAUUGACAAGUGCAAUAAUUGCAUUGAAGUAGGACUUAUCGGUAGUUCUUCGCACAAAUGCAUCUCUAGAGAAUACUUUGAGAGGAUUCUCAACUUUAAUCUAUUAGGUACUGGACUAUAUAUACAGAUUAAAUUUGUUGUAUCAUCCAUUUUCUUUGUAAGCCUGAUGAGAGACCAAAAUUCUAACUUUGAAUUGACUCCAAUCUCUAAAGCAUGUCAAGAAAAAAUUGAGGUCAUUAGCGAGAGAGAUGGAUGCACUCAGUGCUAGGGAAACAAGGUCACUGAAGAAAAAAAGGUCUUUGAGGUACAUGUUGAGAAGGGAUUGCAACGGGGCUAGAAGAUUGUGUUUGAAAAUCAAGCUGAUGAAGCGAUAAGUAGAAAUUAUAGAAUUAAGCAUUGUGGUAUCUGUUCAGAAUUACAAUUCAGUAAUUUAUUUAGUUACUUAUGUAUUAGUCAUGAGAUUGAGAGCCAAUGAUAAAUUCAUUUAGUGUUAUGUUUUUAUCAAGAUAAAUAUUGCUUUUACUUAUAUACAUAGUGCUUAGAUGAGUGUUUGAGCUUAUUCAACUACCUUAGAUAUCUUGCUCGCAUUUAACAUGAAUGAGAUUUUGCAAGAGCAGGAGAUUGUGUAG